UGCAUCCAGUUGCCAUCGGGCGAGCCGGGCACUCUGGAGGGACUGCCGGCGACAAGCCGGAGGAAGGUGGGGAUGACGUCAAGUCAUCAUGGCCCUUAUGUCCAGGGCGACACACGUGCUACAAUGGCCGGCACAGCGGGAAGCGGAGGGGCGACCCUGAGCGGAUCCCUUGAAAGCCGGUCCCAGUUCGGAUUGCAGUCUGCAACUCGACUGCAUGAAGUUGGAAUCGCUAGUAAUCGCGGAUCAGCCAAGCCGCGGUGAAUACGUUCCCGGGCCUU
rnacentral:rRNA from 1 species